ensembl:lncRNA
AUUCAGACACUUUAUUGGUUGCACAUGAGCGUUUCUCGUGUGUUGUGGUCCUCAGCCAUGGCAUAUACUCAGACUGGUGACUUUAUAGCGGAUGUCGUCUCUGAGUUUCUCCACCUGAGCGUCCAGACCGGUCAGUCGUGCCGAGUUCUGCUGCAGCUCCGCCGCUCCCUGACGAACGGACGCCUCCAUAUCUGAGGACGCAAACACACCACCGGUUACCAUAGGGAUGUGUGCGCUGAGCAUUAUGGGAUGGCAUUGUAAUACAUGCGGUUUGAUUAUUUAUGUUUGUGAGACGUCUUGCGCUCUUUGUCCUUGUCUUGAUUUGAUUCUCGGCCGUGAAUCAUAUGAUGGGAUUCAUCUGGAUCAGCUUCAGGGACCGGCGGCACCAGGAUUUCGUACGCGGCGUGUGUUGGGCCCCGUGCGGCUCGGCCGUGUUGACCACCGUGGGCUGGGGCCAUCAGGUGCUCCACCACAGCGUGUCUGCGCCCUAGAGCAUCAUGGGAAACCACACCAACCUCCAGCUCAUCCCCAUUUCUGUUGUUCCGUCACCAUCAAAUAAUGAUUCAUGAGUUUAAUGCAUAAUCAUAGGAGGAUAAAAAUAAUGCAGAAAAUUUGUUUUUUAAUAACAGAAAUGGGUAUGAAUGACAUAUUUCUCACAUUUCCAAGAUUCACUGUUCAAUAAAGUUUCCGUCAUCUGUAUAUUUAUGCUCUCGCAUAUCUUUAUUAGACGGUAUUGCGGUUAUAUUCUUACUCUCAGGGGUAACAAAAGGUUAAAUGUCCAAAAAUAACAAUUUAACAUGAACAGUCAUACAAACAAGUUUGCGGAUUAAUGAAGCACAAUUAUUGACCUAUUGCAUAUAUCACACAAUUAAACCUGUUCGUAGCAGAUGCUAGCUUAUUUCUUCAAAUACACUUUUAACCAGUAUAUUCAUGCAAAUACAAAGUUUGCAUUAUUUAUUUUUUUGAUUAAGAAAACGGCUAUGAAAAGCAGCAAAAGCAUUUUUCUUCAUUAAGAAGAACCAUCAGUAAUGUGUUCAAGGCUUCGCAACCAUUUGAUCAAAUUUUAAGGCAUACUUUUUAUAAGUUCGUAAAAAUGUUUUGACCUGGAAAAAAAUCCAGCACCACUGAAAGAAGCUCUCAUAUCGAGAGCUAUAGAGUCAUUUUGUACAUUAAUGAUUAAAGGCAUUAAAAAAUAUUGUGCAGAAGUUACAAUUAAGAACUGAUGUUCUUAAACAACUGAUUAGAAACUGGAUUAAACUAAUGAAUUAAAUGAAAAGGUUUGACAUUAAAACAAGUUUCUGUGUAUAGCGUAUACAGGCACAGUUGCUCCAUUGUUCGAUUUUAGCAGCAAGAGUUCGGCACAACCUGAAUAUACUGACAGCUGAAGAAACGUCCAGGUAGAAAGUUACAGUAAUACUUUACAGACCGGGUGCAAAACGUUAAAUAUCUGUCAGGUAGGUACAUAUGUACAGGUAAGGCACGUCUCUGGAAUAAUGGAUCAGGACGAACCGUCUUUGAUAACGGGUGUUAUUGGUUGUUUGGCUCCUGGUCUCACGGUGAACGUCAUUCCAAACUGCUGUUUGGUUGAUGAUCCGUUACUGAAAGAUAAAGAAGAGCCCCAUUAUUCUUAAGUAAACACGUUUUCAAAGUUAUAAAAGCAUGAAGUAUUAGAACUAGCUUUUGAUUCCACUUUAACCAGUAAUAACUCAAUAUUACAUCAGAUUUUUGGGGGCAUCGGCUGGAUUGAAAUGCGGCUAGUACAUGUUGGUUUGUUUAAGCAUCCGAAUAAAUCAACUUAAACAGUUUCAUAUGCAUUGUAGAUCAUAAAUGUCAUGGAAACAACUGUUGAGUGUUGUUCCAGUAUCAGAGGCAGUUUAUUUAUCUUCCUGGUGAUUCAUCUCGGCUAUGAGGGAGGCGUUGACUGUGAUGACUAAAUGAUUGUAUGCGUUAUUCAAAAGAAAGCUAUGUAAUGUUUCUGUACAUAAUCUGAAUGUCAUUAAGUCUCCAAUGGAAUUCUGUUUCCGCCUCAAAGUAAAAAAGUAAUUGCUACUUUAUUUCUUGUAAUAGCAACUAAAUGUCUCCCAAUUGUGACUUUAUACCUCACAAUGUGAAUCUUUUCUUUUUCCCCAUGUAUAAAGUCCUGUCUGACAUUUUCAGUCAUGUUUCACUCGAAAAAUACACAUUACAGAAGUGAAACGGAUUGUGAAUACAGUUUCAUGUUGACUUUGACUUUGUUACUUGUAUUUACUUUUAGCUUACCUGUUCUGGGAUUUAGUCGAAGUGGCCAAAUUUUGAGCUUUUUUGGCCGCUUUGCUUUCCAGCUCCUUCAUGUCCACUCCACGAGUUUGCGCCGGCAAGGUGGCACUGCGGUUUGUCAUAGGAUUGUAUGUGGUAAGGGGCGACGUGGCCUCGUCAUCAGACAGUGGAUAGUUCCAGUCAUCUCCGUUGGUCUCCACCUCUUUGACAGCCGAGAACUUGGGGUCCAUCUCUAGCAUCUUCUUCUGCAGGAUACUGAGAAGUGUCGCUUGGCUAGCGGAGACGGAUGGCGGCACUUGUGCAAUGGGUUGAGUGGGUUUAGUUUGAACAGGUGGUUUGGAUUGGGGCUGGAUAUUUGGGGGAGGUCCUGGGGCCUUGGGAGGACAGCUGGGUGGUUUAGGUUUGGGGGAAAUGAGGGGGCCAUUGGUGGAAGGAGGAGGUGUUGGAGGUAGGGAGGGUUUGGCAGGUGUUGGAGCAGGAGCAGGGUGGCUUGGCAGAGAGCCAUUGGUGAUUGGAAUAGGUAAGGGUUUAGAAGGUAGAGGGGCAGGUUUUACAGGGGUAGCAGGAGCCGGGUGACUUGGUGGGGGGGAGUUGGUGAUUGGAGCAGGUGUAGCAGGUAAGAGGGUUUUAGCAGGUGGAGGGGCACUUUUCACAGGUGGAGCAGGAGCGGGGUGACUUGGUGGGGGAACUGGAGGUUCCUCCUCAGAGUCCGAGUUGGCAAAUUCAGGAGGUGGUGGAAUGAAGACCAAGUCUUCUCCAAUUUCCACAUCUCUAACAGGGACACCCAGACCACUAACAGAGCUGUUCAUUGGGCUUCGUAGAGGGGUUGAGCUUAGCUCUGGCUUUGAGUAGGACACAUGUGGACCGUCGACUUUGGUUGAUAGAGAGGCGAGUGGUUGCGUGUUUGUGGUCAACUUUAAUUGUGCAUUGGGACUGUCUGGUGUUGGGUCUCGAGGAGUGACAGUGAAGGAGUUUGGUUUUUCUACACUAGGUUGGAUCACAGAAUUGACUGGAUCUCUUGAGUUGCUGUUCUGUUGGGACAGAGCAGUUCUCUGCUUUUCUCUUUCCUUUGCAGCCAUCAGCAAGGCGAAAGGUGAAGUUGAGGUCUCUUUCUUUACUGAGCCGUCUGCGCCCCGCGUGUUGAGAUGUCGGUGGUUCAAGAUAGGGCUGUACUUGCGAGGCCUGCCAGGGGACGCAACUGGGGUCACCACCUGCCUAACAUCAGGUAUCCUUUUCUCUAUUUUGGGUGAGACUUUGAUUGGUGCUGGUAUCUCAGUGGGGAUGUUUUGUGGUGUUACAGGCUCAGGAUUGAUUUUGGGCUCUACCUUGGCUUGUUCUCUUGGAGCUUGUGCCAUGUCUGGCUGGUCAUCCUGUAGAUGAGUGGCGGAGCUGUUCCGACGGGCUGGUUUGGUUGGUAGCACCCCUGGUUGGAAAGAUUCAGCAUUUUUCCCACUAUUCCCAUUGACAACACCAACCGUGUUUCCAGCAGAAUCUUCCAGCAGCAGAAUGGACUGGACUUUUUUUUCCCUAUCUGUCUGUCCACCAAGUAGUGUGCUCUUCUGCACGCUGUAGAGUUUUGCUGUGUUCUGGGGGUUGAAGCUAGAUGGUGUUGGGUUGGAAGCAACGGGUGGCACAGGAGUUUGGGACUGGAUGUCUAGAUUGGGUAUGGAGGACAUUCGAAUGGGUUUGGGAGGUGCUGCUUUCUGAGCUUUUGCAAGAACAGGGGGUGGCGGUGGGUUGAACUUGGGGCAUUCUGGGAAAUCUUGGACAUCCAGGCUAGAGAGGGAACCUCUGAGGCUGGAAGUUUCAGAUGGAGGUUUUGGAGGAGGCAUUGGAGGAGGUUUGAGGGAGGCAAGGUCCAAAUCUGCACUGUAAUUGGAACUGGUAAGUGAUGGCGGUUUUGGGGGUGCCAUUGGAGGGGGAUGCAGGCUUGCACGAUCUAAAGAAGGGUCCAUUUCGCCAAAGAACUGUGGUGGGGGAGGGAUGAAUGAUGGAGGAGGUGGGGCUGAAUAUGAUGGAGGGGGUGGAGGAGCGGAGCUAGGCGGAGGAGGUAUAAGUAUUUCCCCCUCGAGUAGGUCAGGGACAGAAAGCAUCCUUCCAUUUGAGAGGUUUGUAGUACUUCCUACAAAAAGACAAUGUGAAAAUCAACCACAGGUUCAUUAAAACACCUCAG